GAACGGGUGAGUAAUGCAUCGGAACGUACCCAGUAGUGGGGGAUAACUUACCGAAAGGUAAGCUAAUACCGCAUACGCACUGAGGUGGAAAGCAGGGGACCGCAAGGCCUUGCGCUAUUGGAGCGGCCGAUGUCGGAUUAGCUAGUUGGUGGGGUAAAGGCCUACCAAGGCGACGAUCCGUAGCGGGUCUGAGAGGAUGAUCCGCCACACUGGAACUGAGACACGGUCCAGACUCCUACGGGAGGCAGCAGUGGGGAAUUUUGGACAAUGGGCGCAAGCCUGAUCCAGCCAUGCCGCGUGAGUGAAGAAGGCCUUCGGGUUGUAAAGCUCUUUCGGCCGGGAAGAAAUCGUGGUGGCGAAUACCUGCCAUGGAUGACGGUACCGGACUAAGAAGCACCGGCUAACUACGUGCCAGCAGCCGCGGUAAUACGUAGGGUGCGAGCGUUAAUCGGAAUUACUGGGCGUAAAGCGUGCGCAGGCGGUUUUGUAAGACAGCUGUGAAAUCCCCGGGCUUAACCUGGGAACUGCGGUUGUGACUGCAAGGCUAGAGUAUGGCAGAGGGGGGUGGAAUUCCACGUGUAGCAGUGAAAUGCGUAGAGAUGUGGAGGAACACCGAUGGCGAAGGCAGCCCCCUGGGUCGAUACUGACGCUCAUGCACGAAAGCGUGGGGAGCAAACAGGAUUAGAUACCCUGGUAGUCCACGCCCUAAACGAUGUCGACUAGUUGUUGGAGGGGUAAAACCCUUUAGUAACGUAGCUAACGCGUGAAGUCGACCGCCUGGGGAGUACGGCCGCAAGGUU
rnacentral:rRNA from 1 species